rnacentral:rRNA from 1 species
GGGUAGUUUGACUGGGGCGGUCUCCUCCCAAAGAGUAACGGAGGAGCACGAAGGUUAGCUAAUCACGGUCGGACAUCGUGAGGUUAGUGCAAAGGCAUAAGCUAGCUUGACUGCGAGAGUGACGGCUCGAGCAGGUACGAAAGUAGGUCUUAGUGAUCCGGUGGUUCUGAAUGGAAGGGCCAUCGCUCAACGGAUAAAAGGUACUCCGGGGAUAACAGGCUGAUACCGCCCAAGAGUUCAUAUCGACGGCGGUGUUUGGCACCUCGAUGUCGGCUCAUCACAUCCUGGGGCUGAAGUAGGUCCCAAGGGUAUGGCUGUUCGCCAUUUAAAGUGGUACGCGAGCUGGGUUUAGAACGUCGUGAGACAGUUCGGUCCCUAUCUGCCGUGGGCGUUGGAAGAUUGAGAGGGGUUGCUCCUAGUACGAGAGGACCGGAGUGAACGCACCACUGGUGUUCGGGUUGUCAUGCCAAUGGCAUUGCCCGGUAGCUAAGUGCGGAAAAGAUAAGCGCUGAAAGCAUCUAAGCGCGAAACUUGCCUCAAGAUGAGUCUUCCCUGGGCCUUUAAGGUCCCUGAAGGAACGUUUAAGACUAAGACGUUGAUAGGCUGGGUGUGUAAGUGCAGCGAUGCAUUGAGCUAACCAGUACUAAUGAUCCGUGAGGCUUAACCUUACAACACCGAAGGUGUUUUAG